rnacentral:rRNA from 1 species
UGGGGAAUAUUGGACAAUGGGCGMAAGCCUGAUCCAGCAAUGCCGCGUGAGUGAUGAAGGCCCUAGGGUUGUAAAGCUCUUUUACCCGGGAAGAUAAUGACUGUACCGGGAGAAUAAGCCCCGGCUAACUCCGU